rnacentral:lncRNA from 1 species
AACUGAUACCUUCAAACAUCCAGCAGGGAGCUCUCUAGUGUGGAGUUAAUACUCCGCUAACGUUAUGCACUUUUCCCUUGCAACCAUCCGAUAGUUUGGGGACGACAAAUAAGCUGACAAUGGGAAUGCCCUAAACCAAUAAUAACAAGAAUCGUUAAUGUGUAUAUAUGUCAAAUACAUAAUUUAAGCAAACAGUUUCAAUUUAAGACAAUUAUAUGUAAUUACCUCUGGAAUGUUCGGCUGAAAGGUACAGUGAUACUGUUUUUGUCGAAGCAUCUCUGUAUACCGUUGAGGCGCUAGUCUCUCUUUCUCUCCCAAUGCAUCAAGCUCAGCUUGCAUUGGCUUCCAAUCUUGCAUGAAGCUCCCGAUUACUAUGAGCCUUUUCCUUUUCUAACACUGAGGGAGGUCGGAGUGACUCCAAAUCCCUUACCCCUCACCCGACCAGAUACUCAGGGACAUUCUAAUGCCCGACUAAGUAUGCUCUUAGUAUCAUCGGGAGAUAGAGACUGAGAUAGCUCCUCCUGAAAAAAUCAGAUGAAUACCGUAUACUUGUCAAAUAUGGUGUAUAAAAAUGUUAUUCAAUUAAUGAAAAAAUAUUAUACUACAACAUUUCUGGUAUACGUUGGUUAUUAAAACGUUCUUUCUUUGUGGGAACUCCAGAUUCCCACACGGGCUUCGCUUACCACAAAACAUGUGCAGGAAGAGAUGUUUCAUUGAACUUUCCUCCUUCUGCAGCUACACAGUUAAGUUUCAUACAAUUUGAUCAGAUAAAACUAUAUAUGAUUGAACAAAUUUGUUUCGCAAAUUUAUAAAUACUUACCAUGGGAUUGUUCUAAGCGUCCAUAAUCCGACACGUCGCUUUCGGUACGAUAUGCGGGACUGAUGCUCUUUCCCGAUUUGUAGACUUAUUCUCUUUGAAAAGUCGGGUUUGUCUUUGGUUUGAAAGCUUUCCCAUUCUUCAGCCGAUAUCAAACUUUCAUUAUUUUCUAGAAGCUCCGCCAUCCCAAAAAUUUAACCAUCCGCAUCCUUAAGAACGUUGGAUGUAAAAAAAUGGGUCCUGAAACCCUCUAAGAAGCUUUCCGGCCAAUUCAUGCAAAACCCUCGUCUUUUCUUCUUUCGAUGUUUAAACAUCGCUAAGAAAAAACAUACAGGAUGGUGAUUAGUUAGUAUGGUAAUUUAAAAAAAACAUAAUGAUACGUAUAAUUAAGGGCCCAAAUGAUUGUACCUUUAUCUCACUCCAAAUUAUUUUCUUUUGGACUCUUUCAACUUUUAUUCUCAGCAUCACACGUAAUGGGAAUUUCAUUCCUUACUAGUGCACCGAGAAACUAGUUAAGUAUGGCCCAUAGCGUUCUAUAAGUUGUCCCUGGUUGUUCCAAGAGACAUCUAGUAUGAUGCUGCGAGAUCUUCCUCUGGACCACCCCUUCGCAUUACGUGAUGCCUUCUUCGGAUUUCUUCUUCCGCGGAAUACUUUACUAGAACUUCCUCAUGUUGGUAUCAGCCAUGUCUAACCUGUAAUAAACCAAGGAAACCAUGCAAAUAUUCAAAUAUAAUUAUAUUCAAAACAAUUGAAAACAAAAAAAUUAAAGAAAUCAAUGCAUUAUCAGAUAUAACUUAUAAUCAAAGCAAUUGAGCUACAAAAAUAUAAUGAAAUCAUGCAUACCACAUAUAAACCUUAUAGAUCAAAAACAAAUUGAAAACAAAAAUAAAGAAACCAUGGAUAAUUUACCUAAGUCACUUAACAUCUCUUCUUUUCUUGUUGUUGGAAUAUAUCACUUGUUUCUUUAGCAAUGCGUACGAUGAAUUGAUCCAAUUUCCCUCAUGUAUGAUGCGUUUCUUAUAUAUGAACUCAUCCGGUAUAAGAUCCUCAAACUUCAUCAUUUCUAUUCAACUCGAUUCCGUUAAUGCAUGCUUCAUUCUCAACAUUCAAUACACAUUUGAUCGACACCGCUUAUUCAUGCAGUCACUUUGUUAGAGAAAAAGCCACUAUAGACCAUUUUGUAACUCUUUGCGCGUCUUCACAUAGAACACUUGUUUUAGCUUGAGAUGCUAGAAUAAAAUGGUUCAUCUUUGUACCCCACCCUAGUAAGAUCAACUUGCCAAAAUUCCAGACGUUAUCCAUUCGUAUGCCACUACUAUUCACCCACUGCAACAAAGAUGGGAAUCUGAAACUUCUCGUAAUCAAACACCAAAUGUGCCUCAAAUUAACAAAAUAUGACAAAUUUGCCAUAUUGGGGUUUUAAGUCCUUCAUACUUGAUAUAUUGCAUUGCUUCAGCUAGCACGGUGCACCCACUUAUUUUGCAUUUAGUACUCUUAUCAUCUUGUCUUCUGUUGGUAUAAAAUCGGGUAUCCAUUAACUUGAAUAUUGCGCUAUGAGAAAACACAUGCAAACUUGGACCAUAUUCCAAACAUCUCAAACCUUUCUGUUUACCGAAGAAGGAUCUGAAGAGGCUUCAAAUAAAUAUGAUCCUUCAACAUUGUAUGAAACUUUUGAUUGAUGCUCUAUAACUAUCCAAUUUUCAUGUCUCUUUCGCGAUGUUAACCUCGGAGACAUCCUUGUCGCAUUCAACAUUGGGCUCAACCUCAUUAUUAUGUGGGAACAUACAAUGAACUUCGAUCCCGUUCAUCCCUGAUAUUGUUCACAAUUUUAUUCCCAAUUAAUUUUACCUUCCAUUUUGUCGAAAAUCUGGCUCUGGGGAGUCAAUCGAUUGAACGUGAGACAAAUAAUUCAGUACAAAAACUCAACACGCUUCUUCAAACAAUGUAUCGUUCAACAAUACAAACCCUCUGGUUCGACUUCGGGAUUUCACGUACCCUUUUAAUAUUUUCAUACCGUUCAGCAGGUACAUCCAUCUCAUGUAAAGCUUGGUCCACCACAACUGUGUUCUCUCUUUCACAAAGAUGAACAACUAAAUUGGAACCAUUAUGUCAAAAAAGACGGAGGAAAAUACAUUUCAAGCCUCACACAAGGUAAUUUACAAUCUCUUUAUGUAAGUGUUGGUAAGAUCUCGGAUUCGAUCUCACCUUACUUACAAAAUUGACCUAAAGAAAAAAACCACAAUUUAGUUAUGGCAUCUUCUUACUUUUUCUGGCCAAAAAUAGAACGUAUUACCUAUCGGUAGAAAAUGUUCCAUAUAACAGGGCAAUCAUGUGUCUUCAAAUUCUUUCAACUUGAGGUCUUUCAUUAGAACAAAGCUUCUGAUAUCAGAUGAGUAUCCUUCUGGAAACCUUAACUUCACUCAGAGACUAUACACAAAAUUUUUUUCUCCUUUCUAGAUAAAGAGUAAAAGCAGCAGUGGUUAGAUAUGUUCGUUCUUUCCUUUCUUCACGGGUGCUUAAUUCAGCUUCUCAUUCCACAUUUUUAACAUGUCCUCCCUUGCUUUAAGCCACCUAUAGACUUGCCUUUUAUUAUGAGUAAUGUACUGAUAACACCUUUCAAAUUACGGUUUUGUUCAAAUAUGCAUAACAUCGAGAAAAUGUCUCACGUACAAAGGACUUCCAUGAUGGCAAUUCAAAAAAUAUCGACCUUUUCUUCCACCCACCUUGUCACAAAUUCUGAUGUGCAAAAGGCCUGCCAAACUCAGUACGCACCAUCUUCACCUUUUCAAAAACUUGUUUCACCUUGACAAUUGCGGCGUUGCGAGCUCUACGAUGUUCCGGUUGUUCUCGCAUGAAUGCUUUUCUCACCCACGAUCUCUCUCCGGGAGGGAGGGAGAGAGAGAGAGAGAGAGAGAGAGAGAGAGAAUCAUUAAACCAAGUUCUAACCGUUAAAGAGCGAAAUGCAGACAAUGGCCUGAAGAAUUAUUGUCUAGUACUAAAUGGUAUAACUUGUUUUCUAAUAUAACUUUAUAUAUCAUAUUAUAAUUCUAUAAUGCAAUCCAAAACGUUAUAUAUUCGGUAGGGGGUUGAAAAAACACUCAAACCACCUAAGAUGUAAUAAGCCCAUCUUCUAAACAAACCUUAACAACAACAUUCAUCAACAACAAAUCUUAUACAACAUACAAGAUAAAACAAACAACACUUAUUAACAACAACAAAAAUAUCAAUAACAUAGCAUAAACUACAUACAACAUACAAGUUUUAUUACUAACAACAACAUAUCAACUCAUAAGAUGUUUCAGAAAUGUACAUGUCCCAAAAUGGUAUCCACAAUAAAAGGAGGAUCAAGCUGAAGUGAGAGCUGCAAACUUGUGUUAAAUUUGAAUGAAUGUUAUUUUGAAGUCUUUCGAAAGUUUGCAGUGCUCACUUUAACUUCACCCUCGUUUAUUUUUUCCAUUCACCUUCCCUACCUACAAUUCAGAACCAGCUGAAAGUUCACUCAUCUUAAGUUAUAAACGUCAUAUUAUCCUACAAACAUUAUGAAGCAAGCUAUUGAAACGUAAAAAAUGAUACAUAAACAAAAUAGUUCACUUCUUAGGUUAUACAUUCACUCAUAUUAAGUUAACCUCUGAACAAAUUUUAAAACAUAAACUAUUAUGAAGACGAACCUGUAAUGUAGCAAUUUCCUAAGAUUUGAUGCAACAAAGGUAAUCCUGUAAGGAAUACGAGUUUGUUGCAUGAGUUUAGGGGUUCCAUUUUGAAUGUUUGUGAAGAAAGGUUGUCGAAAUGUUAAUGCAUAUUAGGAUAUAUGAGAAAGACGAGUGAGAGAGACGUUAAAGUUUUGUAUUGAGAAAGACGAUUCUUAUGUAGUGAAGCGAGAGAUAAUUUUGCUUAUAUAUAAAUAUGUAAAAUCUUUCACCAUGCUUGAUAAUAAGAAAUAAAAUUAAAUAUAAGGACAAACCCAUUUUGUCACGAAAAAAUAGAAAAUUGUUGGUGCUGGUAUUUGAACCCUUACACUCCAUGUACAUUUCACCAUGAUUGUUAACUAUGACCGUAGUCAAAUGUCCUUUAGUAAGUAGAAAAAAACGUGCAAAAAAGAGUUAUUAGCAUGAUUAACAGGAAGUCUGUUGUAAUAUGGUGUUAUGAAAAGUCUAUUUUUUAGUAGUGAUAGGAAGAUGAUAGGAAUAACAGCAACAAAGACUCACAUAAAAUAAGAGAGAGAGAGAGAGAGAGAGAGAGAGAGAGAGAGAGAGAGAGAGAGAGAUUGAUUAUGCAUAGGAAGGAAAUAGGAGCACCUCUUUAUAAAAGAGAGAGAGAGAGAGAGAGAGAGAGAGAGAGAGAGAGAGAGAGAGAUUGAUUAUGCAUAGGAAGGAAAUAGGAGCACCUCUUUAUAACAAUGCUUUUGAGCAUUUUAACGUGUAAAAACUCAAAAUCUAUGAAGAUUUGACCCAGAAAAUGUUGGAAGCAAAAAUUUCCAAAAUAUAUGUGAUAAUUGAUUAUUCAAGGAGAAUAAUUGAUUAUUAGAUGUAAAUUUUGAAGAUUUCGUGUUUUCUUCAUUAAGGCUCUAAUUUGAAUUUCUUUAAGGGAAAUAUAUAUUAUGUUCUCGCUUGAAAUUUGAAAUGUAUAUACAACAUAAUCGAUUGUGAUAAUCUAUUAUUUGUCUAAAUUUUAGUCUUCUUGAUCUUUUGGAUCUUGGGUUGAAAUAUGACUUUGACAUAUUGCUUUUGGCACCCACCUUUCAUUCAGAUUUCACUCCUUUCUCCAAAAAUGCAUAAAACUCAAAUAAGUCAUUAGUAAAAAUUAAUUUAAAUAACUAAAUAAUUUAAUAAAUCACUCAUUUAAAGAGUUAGUGAAACUUUUCCGAUUUUUAUACAAAAAAAAAUAUUCACCUAAACAUCAAGGAAACAACAAAACAUUAUCGUAAAUCGUUUUUUUUUCAAAUUAUUUGACUUGAGAGUUGCAAAGUAUAUGACUCAAGAGUUGGUUUAGACCACAAUAUUGAUAAAUUUAUUACAAAUUUAUUACCUCAAUAUAUUAAGAGGUUAAAUAAUCAUCACAAAAAAUAACUUACUUACUUAUCUAUAUAAAAUAUAAUAUAAAAAUGAAAAAUCAUAUUUUUCCAAGUGUAAUUUUAUCAUUUAAAUAUAAUAUAAAUCAUAUAUUUGUUUAAAUUAUCUAAUAUAUAUAAUAAAACAAUUUAAUAUUAAAUAUACUUUUUAAAAUAUAAACUUAUUUAUAGAAUAGUGUCAAUACAUUUUUAUUAAAUCACAUAAACUAUUUUCCAAUUUAUUUAAACUUUUAUAGUAUCAUUUCUCGAUUUAAAAGUAGUGCACAAACACUAUAAAACAAUAUUACAUAUACAUUCAAUUAAAUUUUUUAUACUUACCAUAUUAUAUCAAUAUUACAUAUAAUCACUUCGCAAUCAUGUUUGGUGUUCCUCGCCAAUAUGGAAAGGUGAUUUAUGCGAGAGACAAACCUCAGAUGCUGAUGUUGUUCUGGAACAUCACUACGUUCGAUCAACUGAAGAGGGAGUUGGUUCGUUGGUUAGAUGGGAAAGUAUCAGAAGGGGAAAAAAUUAGAAGUAUUGAGAGACUUGACAGUAUCUUUUGUUGGAUGCGAAUGAAGACUGAUAAGGAUGCUAGGGAAAUGAUGUUCGGUCGAGACGACAUCAAUUUGAUUGUUGUAAUCAGUUAGAAAUAUUUCUAUUUUCAGAUAGCUUAUUUUGUACUGAUGUUUGUUGUGAACCUCAUUGUAACAAAAACUUAAUGAUAUAUAAUGAUUGAAGGUUACAGAAAUACAAUAUUACAAAAAGCUUAAGACCUAGAUGAUGCUCCUCGAUUGGGACAAUUGUUCUUGUUGUGUCCUGGUUGACGACAGAUACGACAUAAUCUUAUCAUUUUAUCUGUGGAAUCCAUCUCUGUUCUGAUAUGUGUGCUGCUUGGCCUUCCUUUUUUCUUUCUUUGCAUCUCGUCAUUGUGCCAAACAAUAUCACCUUAAUAUGGAGGCCAGUAAUCCUCCAUUGGUAGUACUGAGAAGCUUUGAUUAUACACAUUCAUGAUGGUGUCGGCCUUGUACACAUCAGAUAAAUGGCUGUAAGCAUCUUGACGAGUAUAAGCGCAUGCUGCAAUGACGUGGGAGCAAGGUACACGGAAGGCCUGGAAUUUUCCACAAUCGCACCAACUUCUGUUUAGUCUAACAACGUAGGCUAAAUUUGGUCUCCCCUCGUUGUGGUCCAUUGUUUCAUGGACGCUGAAAUUUUGUCUAUGACGGUCAAAGACUGUUACAGCGUGUGUGCUAGCUUUGAUGCUCUCCUCUUUCAUGACCUUCAUGCAACACUCACUAAAUACUUGCCCAGACAUUAACACCGCACUCCGUCUUUCACCUCUGGUUGCGAACGUAGAAGCCAACCUAUAAUAGGUUGAUCUUACCAAGGCGAUUAUCGGCAGAUUUCGAAUUCCUUUGAAUACCCCGUUCAUGCAUUCCACAAGGUUUGUUGUCAUGUGGCCCCAUCAACAACCUCUGUCAAAUGCCCUUAUCCACUGCUCUACUGGUAUGUUAUUUAGCCAUCUCUCUGCGUCUUCAUUAGACAGUCUAAUUUCAUCACGAUAAUAUUGAAAUGACGGUUGAGUUAGAGCAUACCCAGCAUUCACCACCUUCUUGCGAAGAUUCUUAUCUUUUAUAGCACACAUGAAGUUUUGUGCAAUGUGUCUGAUGCAAUAGACAUGGGUAGAAGGAGGAUCAUGCCAUCCGUUGUCAUAGUUGUUGUAGGCACUCUCAAUGGCAGCAUGUCUAUCAGAAAUCUAACAGAGAUUGACUUGUGGAGCCACAUGCGUUCUGAGAUGUCGAAGAAAGAAACCCCAUCCACCAGCCGUUUCACCUUCAACAAGAGCAAAGGCAAUGGGAAAGACAUUGUUGUUGCCGUCUUGUGCAACCGCCAAAGUACCUUGUAUUGCGUAUAACCAAGUGCCAUCAAUUUGAAUAAUAGGUUUGGCAGAAUGCGAACUUGAUGCACGGGAUAAUGCCCAAAAGAGACGGUGAAGAUUCUUUCCUGUAGCACAAGUUCGUCUUGCAUCAUCGUGUGGAUCGUGUGAAGCUGCAGUCAGUUUAUUGCCCAAAUAUCCCACAGCUAGCCUAGGAGAAUGGCAUCUGCGCAAAGUUAACGACCAAUGGAACUUCAAUCCAUGGCAAAGCUUCGCAAGAUCGGAGUGUCGCAAAUGGAAGCACCGUCAUGACCAUGUGUUAACUGACGCGGUCAUGCCAACUGAAGAAAAACCAAGUCGUACUUAUAUGGCUUGGUACAUAUCAGUUGGUUUUUAGUUCAUCGCCGAGGAUAUGUACUUGUACGACCCACGCCAGAUGACUUACACACCUGACACCUCAACAUCGAACCCCCAACAACAGUGUCAGACCGGAUACACACAACCUCCUGUCCGUCAAACGUUCCGUUCAACCAACACACAAACAUACACCCAAAACAUUCCAUACACCCAACCCCAAUACCAAGAGUAUACCCCAUACCACCACCAACAAAUUGACCAUCAACCCGAGACUCAACAUCGCUUCGCACCCACCCCAUCACCCUACUAAAGUCGCCUAAGCCAAAAUACCCAACGAUUAUUCAACACCAACCGCCCCUCCUCCUACCGUAGCCAAGAAGCCCAAACCUCACAAAACCAAAACAUCCAACAACCCUAUCUCUACCAAACACCCCAACAACCUUUCCAACCUUUCCUCGAUGCAUCGACUACCGUAGCCAAGAAGCCCAAACCUCACAAAACCAAAACAUCCAACAACCCUAUCUCUACCAAACACCCCAACAACCUUUCCAACCUUUCCUCGAUGCAUCGUUCACACCCAUGUCUCCCUUCAACUGUCCCGGUCGCCCAUCAAUGAGUCAAUCACAUCCCAACUUCUCUGGCAUGGGUCAUGAGCUCAGCUAUGGCGGUACACCAUCGAUGCAUACUGAAGACUAUGCCGACUUGUCUGACUAUCUCAACAGACCUUCUCCUGUAGUUGGUAGUGACGCUCCUGGGCCCUCAGAUGCUCAAACACCGGUACCGAAUCGUCAACGUGGGUUAGGGCCACAGGUUAGGGUAGCUAGAGGAUGUGGGACCGAAGGUCGGUUAGGUGAUCCCGGUCAUCACCAUUAGGUUUCUUUGUGUAAACGGAAAAUUUUAUUAAUAUCAAGUGGUCCUAUAUCAAAUUUAUCUAUCACGUAUACCAUUUACAAAAAAAAUUGCAUUUUAGGAGGAGUCUCCAAUUGAAUUGGCGCCUCCUCUUAAACCCUAUACAGGGGGGCUAGGGCACUUGCCCUAGCCAAUCCAAUUGGCGCCUCCAUUCAAUUUUUAAGAGGAGUCUCCAAUUCAAUUGGCGCCUCCAUUCAAUUUUUAAGAGGAGUCUCCAAUUCAAUUGGCGACUCCUCCUAAAAGUGGGGUAGUUUGGAAAUUUUUUUGAAACCAUGGAUAUUUUGGAAAUUUCCUUGAAAAAUUGGGUUAUUUUCGUAAAAAUUUCAAUACACGUCUUUUAUUGAUUUUAUAUUGUAAUAUCGGUUCAUAUUCAUUUUUCUCGAAUUUCUUUAUUGAUAAAAUUUAAAAUGAUACAAGCUAAAUUCAGAAAAAUAUAAAUAAAUUUUUUACAAGUGUAAUUCUUUUAAAUUAUCAUGUUGUGUGUUAAAAUCUUAAUCUACCAAUUUUUUUAAAAAAGUAUUCCGUUUGUUAUCAGUUAUGUAUAAGACAUACUAGUAUAUGAUAAAAUGAUUAUAAACUAUUCCCACGUUUUGACAAUGUCAAAUGUCCAAGUAAUACGAUUAAUUAUCUUAGCAGCAGUCAUUAACGAAGAGGAGGCUACACUACACAUAUUUAAAAAUAGUACUUACUACUAACCCACCCAUGUUGUACGCAUACAUCUUUUCCUUAGCCGACCGCAUUUUUAUUCAAUUAUUAUUACAUAGAUGAUAGAUUCACCAAUUUCUCUCCUUUCUAUAUAUACAUACACACCAUCUAUUUAUUCCUCAUCUCAUAAUUCAUAGUAAUAUAUCUUCUCCUGCUUAAUUUCUCUGUUACUCAUUAACAAGUAUGGCCGAUAACCAACCUCAGUUGAACGAUUCUUACUAUGGACCUGCAAUUCCAGCUGCUCGAGGGCAAUCCAGCAACCGCCGCAACCGUGGCGGAAGCGGUUGUUGCACUCUCUUUACCUUUUUAUGGAAACUUCUAGUUGCACUUAUUGUUCUCUUUGGUCUCAUAAUCCUUAUCUUCUAUCUCAUUGUACAACCGCUUUCCUUCAAGUUCUAUGUCACAAAAGCCCAAUUAACUCAAUUCGACUACACAAACAACACACUACACUAUAACAUGGUGCUCAACUUUACAGCUCACAACCCAAAUAAAAAACUCAGCAUUUACUAUGACAAAGUUGAAGCUCAAGCAUUCCUCGAAGGGUCGAGGUUUGCUAAUGUUGACAUGAUCACACACAUGAACUCGUUUCGCCAAUACAAGAAAGGCAGUAACCCCAUGAGUGGAGUUUUUGCAGGACAAAAAUUGUUGAUGCUCGAUAUUGGUCAAGUCUCCGAGUUCAACAAAGAUAAGAAUAUUGGAGUUUAUAAUAUCUAUGUUAAGCUCUACUUUACGGUUAGGUUUAGGCUUGGCGACUCCAUAUCCAGAAAGUACAAACCUAAGGUCAAGUGCGACCUCACUGUUCCUUUGAGCAACGAAAAUGGAACUGGGUUUACCUUUAUUCGACUUAUACCCACUAAGUGUAAUGUUGAGUUCUAGGUUCUAAGCUUGCACUUUCUUGUAAUUGUUUUCCUUUCUCUCUUUUUUUUUCUUUCUUUUUGCUUUUGAGCCUAAUAUUGGCAUGCAAGAUAUUGGUUGUUAUUUUAUUCAUUUUUUGACUCUAAGGUACAUGUACCAUCCAUGCAAUUUAUUCUAGUGCUUAAGAUUUUUUUAUUUAUCUUAGUUUAAGUUUUCUUAGAUGAUUAAUUUUCAAUUUUAAUAGUCAAAGUUUCUAUAGAGUGCAUUUGGAAAGGAUAUUUAAAAAUUAAUUUUAGUGAAAUUAGAAGUUCACAUGAUUCAAACGCUAUAACUUAUUCCCUUUCCACUUAAGAUUUUUAGGAGGUGGCAUCAUGUUAAGGGUGAGUCUUAUUCUAUGUCAUUUGUUUAUUACUAUCUUAUAGUUCGGGUGUUUCGUCUGAGCGUCAGAUUAGUCCUAGGACGGUAAUGCUCUGGAGUAUUUGGAGUAGUUAGUCUCUUUUAAAGUUAUUGUGUUUUUCUAGUAAUUCCUUUAGGAUCGUAUCCCUGUUAGAGAGAAUUUACUCAAAUAUAGAGUUUUAUUCGAUGUUCUCUUGUCCUUUCUGUUUGGCUCACCCGGAGUCGUCCUCCCAUCUCUGUCACAUGUGACAUGGGAUCCAUUUUUAGUAUAAGAUUUUUAGGUGGUUAAGGUGGUAUGUAGAUUUACCUAGUGACAUUUUGACUCUCAUUCAGAUGUUCUAUCCUAUUAGAGGACUGUUAAGGACUAAGGGAGUUUAUUAAUGAUUUCACAUGUUGUGGUCUGGCCGAUUUGGAAAUUCUAUAAUGAUAAAGUGUUCUCUGAUUCUUCGGUGACAGUGAAAAAUGUGGAAGACAUGAGUAUCAUCAUGACUUGGAAAUUAUAUCUUGGUAGGUAUGUGGAUAACUCUUAUACUUUCACAACUUGAUGCGAGAACCCUAUCAUGCAUCUGAGCGAAUAGGGGUUUGAGGGACUAUGACCUCCCUUGGACGUGCUCUUGUUGUGUUCUUCUAAGACUGGCGUUGCUUAUGCGAGUCCUGCCGUAGAGAUCUAGCGUUUCCAUGUGUUUGAUCCCUUUUUUUUGUUUUGGUGUUCUUUACUUUUGGAUUUGCAUAUGGGGUUUUGGUGUUUAUGUUGUAUUUUUAUUGGUUUCUUCGUCCUCCAGAAUAUAUAUAUAUAUAUAUAUAUAUAUAUAUAUAUAUAUAUAUAUAUAUAUAUAUAUAUAUAUAUAUAUAUAUAUAUAUAUAUAUAUAUAUAUAUAUAUAUAUAUAUAUAUAUAUAUAUAUNNNNNNNNNNNNNNNNNNNNNNNNNNNNNNNNNNNNNNNNNNNNNNNNNNNNNNNNNNNNNNNNNNNNNNNNNNNNNNNNNNNNNNNNNNNNNNNNNNNNNNNNNNNNNNNNNNNNNNNNNNNNNNNNNNNNNNNNNNNNNNNNNNNNNNNNNNNNNNNNNNNNNNNNNNNNNNNNNNNNNNNNNNNNNNNNNNNNNNNNNNNNNNNNNNNNNNNNNNNNNNNNNNNNNNNNNNNNNNNNNNNNNNNNNNNNNNNNNNNNNNNNNNNNNNNNNNNNNNNNNNNNNNNNNNNNNNNNNNNNNNNNNNNNNNNNNNNNNNNNNNNNNNNNNNNNNNNNNNNNNNNNNNNNNNNNNNNNNNNNNNNNNNNNNNNNNNNNNNNNNNNNNNNNNNNNNNNNNNNNNNNNNNNNNNNNNNNNNNNNNNNNNNNNNNNNNNNNNNNNNNNNNNNNNNNNNNNNNNNNNNNNNNNNNNNNNNNNNNNNNNNNNNNNNNNNNNNNNNNNNNNNNNNNNNNNNNNNNNNNNNNNNNNNNNNNNNNNNNNNNNNNNNNNNNNNNNNNNNNNNNNNNNNNNNNNNNNNNNNNNNNNNNNNNUAUAUAUAUAUAUAUAUAUAUAUAUAUAUAUAUAUAUAUAUAUAUAUAUAUAUAUAUAUAUAUAUAUAUAUAUAUAUAUAUAUAUAUAAAAGUAGGGAUCAAUUUACUCCAAAAGUAUAUUUUUUUAACUUACUCAAAAUCAAAACAUUUAAAUUAAAUUUAAUCUAAUAGUUAAUUAAGUAAAAAUGCUUAUUGACCAUUAAAUUAGAUUCAAUUUGAAGGCUAUGAUUUAGAGUAAGUUAAAAGAACUUACUCUUGAAAUAAGUUGAUCUCCAUUAUAUUUGCCUUUAAAAAAUGUUAUAACUCAUUUUAUUUCUUAUACAUAUAUACCUUUAUAUUUUGUAAUAGCCUAAGCUUGUUUGACAUCAAUUGACUUCAAACCUUUAAGGUAGAGCAGGUAUGUCCAUGGAGAGGGCUCAAAGAAGCAUGAUUAAACUUACUAUUAAGGGAGGAAGGUGAUUUUUUUUAUUAUCAUGGGUCCGGUAAACUGAUUUGAGUAUUCAGUUCAAUCUAUGUGAAGCUACCAUUAGUUGCGAAGAGGAUGAUGCUACUAUAUGUGGCGAUGAUAGUGAGAAGGUGACAACGAAGUACCCUGAGAAAGAGCAAUAUGGUAAUUCAUAAAUCAAAAAUCUUACAAGUCUCCAAAAAAUGUUGAAAGAUGUUAAAUUAACUCAUCAAGAAUUAAGUAGUGGAAAUCGCAAAAUCAUUGCGCCCUUUGGGGUAGUAGUGCACCAUACACGAUAUCAUUGCGUCACUUUGUUUACCAUUCGGCACUACGGGAUAUCAUUGCUUCCUAUGGGGGACAUGUCAUCACUACAACAAAGAGUAUAUUUCGUAACAAACUUUUACCUCAACCAAUUAAUUUUACCGAGGUAAAUCUAUUCGAUUAUGCACCUUUCUUUCAUUUUAAUUUUAAGUCACUUUUUCCCCUCGUUCAUUGUUAUCAAGUGUUCGGAAAUAUGGUUUCUUCCUUUUAAUUUAUUUUUAAAUUAAAAUUAAAUUACUUUUUCCCUUAGUUAUCUUACACAAUUUUGAGGAAAUGUCCUUCAAGAAAACACUUAGAAUCCCAACAGUAACAAUUUUAUUUUUUUAUUCAUUUUAUGCAACUUUUUCCCUCGGUCAGUUUUAUCAACCAUGGGAACACAUGAAUUAGAAACAAAAAAAUAAAAUGAGAAAAAGUUGAAAAAGGAAACACCACAAUUUGUUGUUUCCUAUCCAUUUUUUUAAGAUUUGCUAUUUUCUUUUUGUGUUGCAAUAUCUUAUUAACUUUUUACAAUCCUGAAAGCUCGGGCUUCAAAGGUUAAUGUUAAAGUUCAAGCAUACCAUUUACUUGAUAAAGUGAAACUUAACAUUAAUCUUCAAACCAAAAAUUUCAAGAUACUUUUUUAGCAUCUUCAAAAUCAAAUCUUCAAAGUCGGUGAUACAACAAAAACAAUAAUACAACAAGAAAUCAUCCUUCCUAGUUUGAUUUAUGAAAGAAAUUAGGUUUUCGAGUUUGGAUUAGGGGAAAGUAGAGUUUGGUUAAUGGAGGAUAAAGUUUGGAGGAGAAAUGAGUUAGAUUUAAGGCAAAGUUGAAUGGCGUUGAGCUUUUAUAGGAAAAAAUGACUAUCCUUUUUCCAUGGUUGGGAAAACUUACCAAGUGAAAACUUAUUCCAUUUUUUUAUAUAUUUUAUAUUUAAAAAAUUACAUUUUCCCACACUGUUGACAAAGGUGGAAAGUUAUUCUUUUUUAUUUUAAAUUAAAUAGAUAAUCUUUCCCUACAUCUGUUAAAACAAACCGAUGUGAAAAGUUCCACUCCUUUUCUAUUGUAAAUUAACAAAUUACAUAAACAAGUUGUAUCUUAUUCCCCUUCAUAACAUAAAACCCCCUAGCGAAACCCCAUCUCCAUAAACGUGCAAAGCACAAUUUCUUUAUUAAUCUCUAUUAUAUUUUCUUUGACAUGUUUGAAACAAGGAAAUGAAACAUGAAACUCACAAGAAGAAAACAUAAAACUAAUUUCUUUGAGUUAUUCAUCACAUUUCAUGUAACAUCUUGUAUAAUAUACAUUUAAAAAAUACAUUAUACACACUGUUAAUUGCUACUGAUACAACACAAGUGUCUAACGACAUCAUUAUAUAUACAUGUCCAAAAAGAAAAAUAUAACUAUGAAAAAUGAUAUACAAGAGCUCCUAAUCAAAACUAUGAUCUAUUUACAAUAUCCAUAGACGCGCAUAGGCCAUAGCAGAAGAUCAUGAUGACAAAAACCUUCGAAACAUCAAAAAACAAGCUUAUUCUUGCCUUUAACCUACAAGUUACCACCUAAAAAUAAUAAAAAUGGGGUGAGAUGAUAAUCUCAAUGAGUUCCCCUAUCUUAGGUGUUCACCCGGCUCUAAAGAGAUUUUAUCGAAUUGUAUCUUAAGCCAUUCAACUCUGCCAUACUUGUGCACGUUUACACAAUAGAACAAGGACUUAAGCAUCUAAGGAAAUUUAUGCUUCGUAUGAAAAACACACAACAUAGUUCACAUAACUCAAUGAAUCACUAUUUGGGAAUGCAUAACAAAUUAUCUUUCCCCGAUCUAUGUAGGACUAUGGACACGGGUCAGGAUCUCUGCUUUCUCGGAUAAUUUGUCCUCGGCCGAUCCAAAUCCAAGGACUAUGGACAUGGGUCACGAUUUUCGGCACAACAAUGAUAGUCUCCUCGACUGAUCUGAAUCCACAGAUUUUGGUCACGGAUCACAAACUUUCCCAUAUCAUGGAAUAUUUUUUUUCCCAGCCAUCCGAAUCCAUAACUUUCAUUGAACAAAUAAUCAUUCGUCUUCCCGAUUACUAACUUAUAUGAGUGUCAAACUCUGGAUACACACAAAUAAGGGUUAUUCCUAAAUACACGAUUGAUUCAUUAAUCACCACAUGAUCAUUUUAAUCAAACAUCAUGUAAUCAUUUCACAAUCACCAUGGAUUAAUGUCAUAAAUACCAUGUGAUUCUAUCAUAAUCACAAUACUACAACGUGUUCCUAUACAAGCUAGACGAAUCACAAGUUAUGAUAUCGUGCAUCAUCCAUGCCUUUGGCAUUCUCGUAGAUUUGAUGACUAACCUCUAACGAUUACUCAUUCACGGAUGCACACUGAUGCACCUCUUAUAUCCGAGUAUCGCAAUCUAAGUUAUUUACCAUAACCUAAGUUCUUUUUACUAAUUUCACUCACCUAGCUAUAACUCUAGGUUUAUUCUCACUCUUCAUUAUGGAACUUUAUUUAUUCAUUAUUCAUUCAAUACAUACACAUCAUAACAUUAUACAUGAAUGACAUAAAAUAGAUCAUUAACAAUAGGACUUUUGAACCACUACAAGAAAUUUGACACGUGCCAACGACAAAAAUCAGUUGGUAAAGGUCAAAAAACCGUUGGUAAAUGUUAAAAAAACAUAUACCAACGAACGUUUGCUUCUGUCAACUAUAAUUUCCUAUACCAACGGAAAUUUUCCGUCCCAAUAUCUUAUACCAACGACAAUUUUCAGGUGUUGGACAAAACUUUAGAGUUAUAGCAAUGGCUAAUUAUUCUGUUAAAUAACUUUAUUCACCACUUAUUUCCGUAGCAAUGACUAAUUAUACUAUUUAAAAACCUUAUCCACCACUUAUUUCCGUUGGUAUAGGACAAAACUAGUUGUUGGUAUGUGUCUUUUUUUUACAAAUAUUUCUUUUUUAUAAUUAACAUUUUAUAAUAAACAUUUUAUAAUAAUCGAAUUUGGCAAUACUUUCUAUAUGCACCACACAAAAUUUAAAGCAACAUAAAAAAAAAUUUCAAUUGGCGCCAUGCAUGAUGAUGCAUUCUUAUAGUGAAAGUCAGAAAGUGUAGGUAAAAGUCUAUUUACCGUAGGUAUAACCUAAAUAACUUAUUCCUACAGAAUCGUAGGUACAACAAAUUAUAUGUCACAAAAAGUGGCGUAUAAGUAUUUCAGAGCUAUAUCUCCGGUAAAUUGACUUUUACCUAAGCAUAUAACUGUCACUAUAAGCUUAGCCAUCAUUUGUACCUAAAUAAAUGCAUGUGCCAGACUUUUACAUAUGGUUUUUGACGGUCACUAUAAGCAUGCACCAUCAUGCAUGUCGCCUAUGUACUGUUUGAAUUUUUUUAUUUGAAAUAUUGUUACUUUGGCAUUUCUUUUUGAAAAUAUUGUUAUUUUGGAAUUUAAAAAAAAUAAAUUCUGCAAUCAUAUCAAAAUAACAAAAUAAUGUCAAUUCUAUAAUCACAACCACUAAAAUAAAUGCUACGACAAUAAAAAAUACAAAAAUUUAUUUAAGAUAAAAACAAUUUCUAAUCUUCCUCUCUUCCAUCUUCAUCUAUGCUUUCUCUAAUCUUCCUUUGUUCCAUCUUCAUAGUAAAUAGUAGCAUGACAAUGAUAAUAGGAUCGUGAGAAAUAGCCCGGUUGAAUGAGCAUAGACUUCUUAUAUUGAACUACGACGACUUCCUCUGCUAUGAUCCAGCUAUCGCAAUCGUUCUCAACAACUCUGACAAAAUUAAUACAUAAGAGUGUCACAUGUUAGGAUAUAGAUAUCAUAGAAUUAGAAUUAGUUAGGAAGUUAGUUAUUUGUUUAGUUAGGAUUAUUUUGUAUAAAUAGGGAGUUAGUUAUCUCAUUGAACUAUGAACAAUAAGAUAUAAUGUCAAAAUUGCGGCGAAUAACAAGUGGAGGCUUCAUUUAAAAAUACUAGAACACAACACAAUCCAGAGGGAAUUUCUUUCAUACGAAUGCUUCUUUCUUCAAUUCAAUCUGCUUCGUGGCUGUUUCGGAGAAGCUGUUAACGAAACUCAGUCAAAACCAUUUUCCAUAUUGAUAUAGGUUCCUUAACAAAGUGGAAAAUGAAUCAUAAAUAAUUAUAGCAAAUAUUCAAACACGCACACGUUUUUACAACCGCGUUAGCGCAUUAAAUCUCCUUUCUAUAUAUACACACUACUCUUUGUUCCUUUAACCUCACAAUUCAUUCUUUCAAUUUACAUUUUUCACUACAACUCGUUUUCUUCCUUUAAUCUCAUUAACAUCAAUUCUGUAUCCAUUUCCUCUUCGUAAAACAAUGGCAGAUAUUAAGCAACCACAAUUGAACGGAGCAUACUACGGUCCCGCCAUUCCACCACCAGCACAACCCCGUCCGCACCACCACCGAAGCAGAAGCUGUUGUU